GGGGCAUAGGCACUAAAGCAACAAGACAAUAGAAGCCUACAUCUUGCCCAAGAUAAUUAGCUUACAUGCUGAUGACAAGGGACAUCACUUCUCAUAGAUGAAGAGUCUGGAGAGGAAGAGUGGGGAAUAUGGUCAGACUCAAAGAUUUGGACAGGUGGACUCAGAUUGGAGCCCUACACAAUAGACCUCCAAGGUUCCAGGCAAAGAAGGCUGCUGAGGUAAUACAAUUAGAUAAUGUCCCGCAUUGACGUAUGGAAGGACAAGAUUGACUGCCGCCUACAUCAGUAAUUAUAUAUGCAUUGUUUUCCGCAACUGGAUCCAGAAUAAAUCAUUUACAACAUUGCCUUGGAAUAACAUUGUCUCCAGAAGCAAGCAAGUACCUUAGGUCAGAAGGUCCUGUGGAGCAUAGAUCGACUCAUCCUCGACCAGGGACAAUGAACCAUUGGGAAACAUAGAUGUUGCAUUUGCUAGCAUGAUGAUGUCAUGGAUGUAGGGGCUAACCAAAGAUGAGAAAAGGAAUUCCUAGCCAACCAUCAAUAUUUGGUGUCAUAACAGACAGGGACGUUUGGACCCUUUGAACUUCACAGGAGAGAGCCUACAAGGAUGUAUAGUUGCCUACUGUCACCCUCUGAGACUUAUCCAAAGAAUGAGCAGAAAGAUAUUGCUACAUUCCAAUGUAAUGGCAUGCCUAUUCAAGUCGUGUAAACCCAGUGUAAGCGAGCUCCUUGGAACCUCUAUUUCUGUAAUCUUGGGUAGUGAUGUUCCUUAUUCUUUUUUAUUCUUUUUUCUUCCAUCCUCUUCUGUGUCUUUUUCUUGGUCAUUGUCAUUUUGUCAGCAGUAUAAUUAAGUCUCUGAACAAAAUAUAUAAGUGCAAUGACUAUUCAUGCCAACAGCUGUUAUAAUACUGAUAUUCAAACAAAGAAUUAGUACACCACUGACACAAAAUAUAUGGACUAUGAAUUGAUUAUUUAACACUUCUGCUUCUGUCUUACACCUGACUUAGAAUCUGGUAUACAUAUGUAAAAAUAUAGUGUAUUGCUUACUAUUACAGUAAGUGCGUCACUGUUAA